rnacentral:rRNA from 1 species
AUUGAACGCUGGCGGCAUGCUUUACACAUGCAAGUCGAACGGUAACAGGCCGCAAGGUGCUGACGAGUGGCGAACGGGUGAGUAAUGCAUCGGAACGUGCCCAGUCGUGGGGGAUAACGCAGCGAAAGCUGCGCUAAUACCGCAUACGAUCUCUGGAUGAAAGCGGGGGACCGAAAGGCCUCGCGCGAUUGGAGCGGCCGAUGUCAGAUUAGGUAGUCGGUGGGGUAAAGGCCCACCAAGCCAACGAUCUGUAGCUGGUCUGAGAGGACGACCAGCCACACUGGGACUGAGACACGGCCCAGACUCCUACGGGAGGCAGCAGUGGGGAAUUUUGGACAAUGGGCGCAAGCCUGAUUCAGCAAUGCCGCGUGCAGGAAGAAGGCCUUCGGGUUGUAAACUGCUUUUGUACGGAACGAAACGGUCCGGGUUAAUACCCUGGGCUAACGACGGUACCGUAAGAAUAAGCACCGGCUAACUACGUGCCAGCCGCCGCGGUAAAAC